UACAGAGGGUGCAAGCGUUAAUCGGAAUUACUGGGCGUAAAGCGCGCGUAGGUGGUUUGUUAAGUUGAAUGUGAAAUCCCCGGGCUCAACCUGGGAACUGCAUCCAAAACUGGCAAGCUAGAGUAUGGUAGAGGGUGGUGGAAUUUCCUGUGUAGCGGUGAAAUGCGUAGAUAUAGGAAGGAACACCAGUGGCGAAGGCGACCACCUGGACUGAUACUGAC
rnacentral:rRNA from 1 species